GUAUGUGUGUGUAUGCGUGUGUGUGUAUGUGUAUGCUUGUGCAUGUGUGUGUAUUGAUAAAUGUGGUAUACUAUUCGAAAUACAACUCUGAAAGGAAAAAAAAAAAUUUUCUCCAUCGAUUUGAUUCUGCUGAGUAUUGGAUAUUUGAUGUUAGAUGCUGUUGCAACGCUAAACUUUUCAACUAUUAGUUUUUCAGGAUAUUCAAAACAUUUUCAAUAUAUGCAAGUUGAGAGUUUCAAAAAAAAGUUAUAUUCCAAUUUGCUGAAAUUAACAACAUUUUAGUAGAUAUAACUGCACAGUUCUCUAAUGAUCCAGAAGAAGGUUUUACACAACGUAAAAUUUCAGAUGAACUUAAUGUUUUGAAAAGAAAAAUUGCAAAUAUAGAUAUCCAAUACAUCGCUUUUGUAUUAGUAAAACAGUUAUCAUUAAUUAGCGGUAAAAAAUCGAGUAGAUACAAUUAAAAAUAUUUUGCUCUUACUACCAACAGACACUAUUUUGUUCGAAUACAGCAUGAAUUGUCUAAAGAAGAAAAAAAAGUUUAAAGAAUUGACAAGUCUAUGUAAUACUGAAACUGCUUUAAAGUCAAAUAAAAACAAAAUGGAUGCCAUCCAUCCAACUUAUUGGGAGAGUAAUUAGGAAUUCUUCUGACCGAUUAAAGAAAACAUCCACUAAUAUGAAUAUCAAUCAAUGAUCGGCUUAA